GGAAAUACCUUCUUUUUCCUGACUGGACAUUGACUGAUGGACUAAUUAUGUGUUCGAGCAAGAUGGUGCACUGGGGCCAUUGCUCUGAGCUUGUUUUAGUAGAUGAAUUGCUCAUGGGAGAGGUGACCUGUUAAAUUCAGAAGAAGGACCACAACGAAAGAACCAUCUGAAGACCAACCCUUAGGCAUUCUCCCUCCACCAGAAAAAACUGAAAUGAGGGACUCUGAUUUCCUAAUCUGCUGCUGAAAUUUGCUCUUUCUCGGAUCUGGGGAAAAAAGAAACUGGCACACUUGCCUCCCUGCUGCUGCCGUGUUCAGCACGCUCACUUCCCGAGCUCCUGCAGAUGAAAGUGUAAUUGUGUGGAAGGUGAACUGAUUGCAAUUAACCUCAGGACUUACCCUCGGGCUGGGGUAUUCUCCCUUCUUUUCUAGGAAUGUGCCACCGGGCCAUAAUACAUAGCUGAUGAAUACGUAUAUCAUACAGGGAAACACAUAUAUUAUGGGAUAAAGUACAUAAAUCAUGUAGAAAAACAUGCAUUAUACUGAGAUGAUCAAAUUAUAAAUGAAGCACAUAAAUCAUAAGAUUACACUGUUGAAUUGUAUCAGGAAACAUAAAUUAUAUAGUGAAAUCCCAGGGUCACUGGAGGGUUCACUGAAUAAUGAAAUGAGCUCCUAUAACUUAAGGAAAAGUGGAAUAACUCGGUGAAAAAUCCAUUGUGCAUUAUGUUCAAUAUUCCAUUUAAUCCAAUUUUAUCUCCUAGGCCUCCUGUGCCCAAGAAUCGAGGUGGCACACCAAGAGGGAGGGGACUACACAAACAGCAAAUCAAUAUUGAGGGAUAAUGUACUCCAGCUAUAUUCAAAAAUAUAAACUUUCAAAUAUAGUGAACAUCUGUAGCUGAAUUCUCGAGUCCAUGUUGGAAAGGAUGGCAGUUCUAAGGUCAGCUACAAAUAUCAAAAGGGCAACGUCUUGUUCCAAAAUGAAGAAUGUCUUGAACCCAAGAAGAUCCUAAAAAGAAAGAGAUGAAAUUAAGAUUGGUUUGCUCUAAGUGUAGCUAAGCAAUUGAAAUUUGGAUUGAUUCAUUGCAUCAAAUAAUGAAGAACAAAAAACAUUUAUUUUAAAUUAUGCAUAUAUAAAGACUUUGCUUACCUUCCCUUGGGGAUCAUUUUUCACAUUUGACUUUGUUUUUUUUUUUCCCUUUACUUCUCUGUACCUUUGUUCAUGCCUGUAUUAAUAGGAUGAAAGGGAAGCAAAAUGGAGAAGAGAAUUCUUUAACUUAGUUUUGCUUUUUAAAGGAAAGUCACAAGCUGGUAGAGGCCAUUCUGUGAGGCUUUAACAGAAGCCCGGGCAAAGAGACUUUCACACACAAUACAGAACAAUGAUACAAAUCAGAUCAAUCUCACAAAGUUUCUCAGUGCAAUGUUCAUCCACGUGAAUUAUGCUCUCACUAAAGCAAGGGCCCAGAAUUCACAUCCAUUCGUAGCACUGGUGAGUUAGGGUUAUGGUCAAAGCCUGGUGUACUGAGGGAUUCCUUAGUCAUAAACAAAGUGUUUGACCCCCUCUAUUCCUCAGGGCAAUAGAGAGCCCGAGCUAACUGAAUUUAUACAGUGGGAAUUGAUAGUUUAUUGCUGACCCUGGAGGGGCAGGGGCACUGACUCACAACCUAUUUCUGGCUUUUCUUGGCAUUUGUUACUGCAGAUAAAGGUAGAUUGUGUCAAGAUGUGCUGCUGGUCCUGGAAUACAAUCGUGUCAAAACACAAGUGCUAAAUUAUUUGAAGGGAAGCAAUAAAUUGGCACCCCCAAACACCCCCUGCCUUCCCUAAGCAUCACAUUUCGAUUUCUCACUGUUACGCAUGUUCAGUGCUGGUUUACACACCACCAAAGAUGUUAAAAGAUAUAUAUCCUGCUAAUCGUACAUUAGUAAUUGUGGAAGAAACUGAAGAGCUGAAGACACAUAGAAUUCCUUUGUUUUCAAUGGCAGGUGAAAUACAAAAUAUUAAUAAAAAUGUAAUCUAUAAAAAUGUUUAGUUUGUUAUCUGUACAUUUGGCUUUGGCCUGCUAACCCAAACUGUUUGGUCCCCAAAACAUCCAUAAAUGGUUAAAUCUUCUCAAUAUACGUAUAAUCAUUUUACUCUAUGAUCUAUGUGUUUCAUUAGUUGAGGUACACAUUUUGCUAUAAUAAAUGUGCUUCAGUAAAUGAUCUAUGCAUUUCUUUCUGAAAUGUAUGUGUUUCACUAGAAAAGGUAUGUGUUCAUCAACUAUGAAUAAUGUUCCUAACGGCACCACAUUAUAUUACCAUGCUGGUAUCAGCACAGCAUUACACAUCCGUUCCCCCCUGACCAUGAGCUCCGCGUCCGCGGGAACACACAUCAGCCCCUGUCACUCUCAGGUGUCGAUGCUCACGUGCCUGAACUCUGCCGUCUUGGGAAACACAAAUGGGAGGGGGGGAUGGAGUCAUUUUCGAGGUGAAUAUGUUUGUUAAAUGAACAGGAAACAAGGGAUUUUUCUAGGCCUGCCCUUUCAUAACCCAGAGGAGGAAAAAACAAUGUGACAAAACACAGUUGAGAUUUUACUGUUUUUCAUAGGCAAACUUCCUUCCAUUUGCUUCAAUUAGCAUUACUUGGGUAACAAAGGGAAGAAUGUAAUUCCAAGUGAAACAUUAAAACCAUUUUUUUUUUUUUUAACUUAUGUGACUGCUCUAUCGAGAUUCCACCCGGUUCCUGAUUUUGGUGAAUUGGCUUCCAAAAUGAAGUAAAAGUGUCUUUAUAGAGUGAAACAAAUUAAUUACUUUAAAAGUUAAAGACCUUAUCUUUCUGUAAAAGAUGUUGUUGAUCACUCGUUGAUGAGAGGUUCAUGUUAGUGUAUAAUUCAAAGGGAAAAGAAAGAUUUUUGUGGGUAUAACAAAACAUACAGUGAUUUACUUCUCAACAUAUUGAAAUUCAAACCAAGCAAUUAUCCGAUUGAACUCACAACCGAUUCUUUGUGGCCUCCAAGCUAUCUGGGACUACUAACAAACAAACCUUUAGAUUAUCUGUGGAAAUCCUUUCUUCCCCCAAGUGUAUGAGUUUCUUCUGUCCAGCUGUCAAGGUUUUGAAAUGUGCCUGAUUCUUAGAGAUGACCAUUUAUUUCAGAAUUGUAACCUCUCUAUGCCUUUCUUCAUUGUGAUAUGCAGCA